GACGAACGCUGGCGGCGUGCUUAACACAUGCAAGUCGAACGGAAAGACCCUGCUUUUGUGGGGUGCUCGAGUGGCGAACGGGUGAGUAACACGUGAGUAACCUGCCCUUGACUUUGGGAUAACUUCAGGAACCUGGGGCUAAUACCGGAUAGGAGCUCCUGCUGCAUGGUGGGGGUUGGAAAGUUUCGGCGGUUGGGGAUGGACUCGCGGCUUAUCAGCUUGUUGGUGGGGUAGUGGCUUACCAAGGCUUUGACGGGUAGCCGGCCUGAGAGGGUGACCGGCCACAUUGGGACUGAGAUACGGCCCAGACUCCUACGGGAGGCAGCAGUGGGGAAUAUUGCACAAUGGGCGGAAGCCUGAUGCAGCAACGCCGCGUGCGGGAUGACGGCCUUCGGGUUGUAAACCGCUUUCGCCUGUGACGAAGCGUGAGUGACGGUAAUGGGUAAAGAAGCACCGGCUAACUACGUG
rnacentral:rRNA from 1 species